UCAUCGGUUUUCUCCCACAGCUCAAAGACGUACAGGUAUGUAGGUUAACUGGCCCUCUGUUAAUUCCCCCUAAUGUGUAGGGAGUGCAUGCAAAAGUGGGAUAACAUUGAACUAGUGUGAAUUGGAGAUCGAUGGUCGGCGUGGACUCGGUGGGCCA